rnacentral:rRNA from 1 species
CCUACGGGAGGCUGCAGUGGGGAAUAUUGGACAAUGGGGGCAACCCUGAUCCAGCCAUGCCGCGUGUGUGAAGAAGGCCCUCGGGUUGUAAAGCACUUUCAGUGAGGAAGAACGCCUGGUGGUUAAUACCCAUCAGGAAAGACAUCACUCACAGAAGAAGCACCGGCUAACUCCGUGCCAGCAGCCGCGGUAAUACGGAGGGUGCGAGCGUUAAUCGGAAUUACUGGGCGUAAAGCGCGCGUAGGCGGCUUGAUAAGCCGGUUGUGAAAGCCCCGGGCUCAACCUGGGAACGGCAUCCGGAACUGUCAAGCUAGAGUGCAGGAGAGGAAGGUAGAAUUCCCGGUGUAGCGGUGAAAUGCGUAGAGAUCGGGAGGAAUACCAGUGGCGAAGGCGGCCUUCUGGACUGACACUGACACUGAGGUGCGAAAGCGUGGGUAGCAAACAGGAUUAGAUACCCCGGUAGUC